GUGCCAUAAACCCCAGUCGUUCCACAGAGAGAGAGAGGGAGAGGGAGAGGGAGAGAGAGAGAGAGAGAAGGAAUAUUCAAGAACCUUUCUGUUUAAUUGCGUCGUUUUAUUUUUGUCUUCUUUGUCUCUCGUUUCGUUUCGUUCUCAUUUUCCUUUGUUUCGCUUUCGGUUUUUUUUUUUUUUCCCUUGGUUCUUGAUUCGAACAAAAACCUAAUCUUAAGGAAACCGCUAUUCUUGGCAACCAUUUCCGUACAGAUAUGGUUGAUGUUGCCGACAAGUUAGCGUAUUUCCAAGCGAUCACCGGCUUAGAAGAUCCCGACUUGUGCACCGAGAUCCUCGCCGCCCAUGGCUGGGACCUUGAGCUCGCGAUCUCCUCCUUCACAGGCUCUAAUUCCAAUCCGCCGGAUAACACCGUUGCCGGAACUUCAUCUACCGGCGAAGGUGGCGCUGCCGGACGGUCCGUGUUAGGAUCGCAAGUCUCGCAGCAAAUGGAACCGGUUUAUAACCCUCCUGCUAGUCCUGGUUUGGCCUGGAAACUCGUCACUUUGCCAGUUUCGGUUAUUUCUGGUAGUUUAGGGUUAAUCUCUGGCGCAAUUGGACUCGGUUUGUGGGCCGCUGGUGGUGUGCUUUCGUACUCGCUAGGGAUGUUUGGAUUGGGCUCGGGAUUGGGUCGGGACGGCGAGUCGUCGACCCCGAUGUUGGUGUCGGUGUCGGCAGCGGCAUCGGAGGCUAUGGAGUUUGUGUCGAGGUUUGAGAGAGAUUACGGAACUACGAGGCCGAAUUUUGUGAGCGAAGGGUUUAUGGAUGCUUUGCAAAGGUCGAGGAAUACGUUUAAGCUGUUGUUUGUUUACUUGCACUCGCCGGAUCAUCCCGACACGCCUUUGUUCUGCGAGAGGACUUUGUGUACGGAGGCUUUGGCGGAGUUUGUGAAUGAGAAUUUUGUUUCUUGGGGAGGGAGUAUUAGGGCUAGUGAGGGAUUCAAGAUGAGUAAUAGCUUGAAGGCUUCGCGGUUUCCUUUCUGCGCUGUGGUUAUGGCAGCCACGAAUCAGAGGAUUGCGUUGCUUCAGCAGGUUGAAGGACCAAAAUCUCCUGAAGAAAUGCUUACAGUACUGCAGAGAGUGCUUGAAGAAAGUGCUCCUGUUCUUGUUGCUGCUAGGCUUGAUGCAGAAGAAAGGAGAAACAAUAUGCUGUUAAGGGAGGAGCAGGAUGCUGCUUACAGAGCUGCGCUUGAAGCUGAUCAAGCUAGGGAACGCCAAAGGAAAGAAGAGCAAGAACGCCUGGAAAGAGAAGCUGCUGAAGCAGCGAGGAAGCGCAAGGAGGAAGAAGAGGCUCGUGAAAGAGCAGCACGUGAAGCUGCAGAGAAGGAGGCUGCACUAGCUAGGAUACGCCAAGAAAAAGCCCUUUCACUUGGUGCCGAACCUGAAAAAGGACCUAACGUUACGCAAGUUUUGGUAAGGUUUCCAACUGGAGAACGCAAGGAAAGGAGAUUUUACAGUACAGCAACAAUCCAGUCACUCUAUGAUUACGUUGAUUCUUUGGGGUGCUUAAAUGCGGAGAAUUACAGCCUUGUCUCUAACUUCCCUCGGACAGUUUAUGGGCCUGAAAAGGUUUCUUUAUCCUUGAAAGAAGCAGGAUUGCAUCCUCAAGCCAGUCUUUUUGUGGAGCUGAACUCUUGAGAUCUUUUAUUGCAGAGAGUACUGCCAUUGAAAAUAGUUAAGAUGAUGAUGAGACCUCCAGGUAGGGAUAUUCUCUGUCGCAUAUCUUUCCUAUUUUGACUCAAUUAGGGCAAUAUGAUGAGUAUUUAUAUAUUAGAAAAUGCUAACCAUGUGGGAAGCUUGGAUACCCAAGAGCGGCAUUUUACUUUUUCGAAAUUGGUUGUUUGCUAGAUAUGAAAGUUAUUCGUCAUUGCCCCUUCGAAUUGACGAACAAGGUGGCAUACUAGUAAUUCCAAGUACUUUCUUUUCAUAUAUUGCAUAACUUGUGGAUCUCUAAUCCUAUCACGUCCUCAGUUACUUCUUUGUAAUUCGUUAAAAUAAAUCUUUAUCACUACCUAAAAUGAAGCAAAACCCCCCACGUACGUCCUCUUGAUUUGGUUGUGGUGAAUUAAGAAUCAUUGCCUCAGAUAAUUACAUAGAAAAUGAAGUUUUAUGGAUGAGCGCUAGUUGGAAAAAAUAAAAAAAUUAGAAAUUAAAAAAGAACAUUGAAAUAUAUGGCGUCGCCCGGACUCGAUUCGGAGGCCUUCAGUGUGUUAGACUGACGUGAUAACCAACUACACCACGACACCAUGGUGGAUGUGUUUUCUAUUGGUCCUUAUUUCUCAAUUUGAACUGAAUAACAACUAAACCCUAUGUUUAGCAAAGCUCUCCAUUGAUUCUGGUUUUGUGUUUGUUUGUUGACUUUGUUAUUUGUCUUUGUACUGAAGUUCCUUGUUCUUUUGUAUCUACUUUAUUAUAAUAAUGAAUAAUAUCCCUUUGGUUGGCAACUUCCA